rnacentral:rRNA from 1 species
UACGGGGGGGGCAAGCGUUGUUCGGAAUUACUGGGCGUAAAGGGCGCGUAGGCGGCUUUUCAAGUCGGGCGUGAAAUCUCCGGGCUUAACCCGGAAGGGUCGUUCGAUACUGUUGAGCUAGAGUGUGGAAGAGGCAACUAGAAUUCCGUGUGUAGCGGUGAAAUGCGUAGAUAUCAGGAGGAACACCAAUGGCGAAGGCGGCUGCCUGGACCAGUCCUGACGCUGAGGCGCGAAAGCUAGGGGAGCAAACAGG